ACAAUGAAGAGUUUGAUCCUGGCUCAGGAUGAACGCUAGCUACAGGCUUAACACAUGCAAGUCGAGGGGUAGCAGGAUCUAGCAAUAGAUUGCUGACGACCGGCGCACGGGUGAGUAACACGUAUCCAACCUUCCGUUUACUCGGGGAUAGCCUUUCGAAAGAAAGAUUAAUACCCGAUAGUAUGUUUUUCCCGCAUGGGAGAACCAUUAAAGUUUUUCGGUAAUCGAUGGGGAUGCGUUCCAUUAGGCAGUUGGUGAGGUAACGGCUCACCAAACCUUCGAUGGAUAGGGGUUCUGAGAGGAAGGUCCCCCACAUUGGAACUGAGACACGGUCCAAACUCCUACGGGAGGCAGCAGUGAGGAAUAUUGGUCAAUGGACGAGAGUCUGAACCAGCCAAGUAGCGUGAAGGAUGACUGCCCUAUGGGUUGUAAACUUCUUUUAUAUGGGAAUAAAGGAGCCUACGUGUAGGUUUUUGUAUGUACCAUACGAAUAAGGAUCGGCUAACUCCGUGCCAGCAGCCGCGGUAAUACGGAGGAUCCAAGCGUUAUCCGGAUUUAUUGGGUUUAAAGGGAGCGUAGGUGGAGGCUUAAGUCAGUUGUGAAAGUUUGCGGCUCAACCGUAAAAUUGCAGUUGAUACUGGGUUUCUUGAGUACAGUAGAGGUGGGCGGAAUUCGUGGUGUAGCGGUGAAAUGCUUAGAUAUCACGAAGAACUCCAAUUGCGAAGGCAGCUCACUAGACUGGCACUGACACUGAUGCUCGAAAGUGUGGGUAUCAAACAGGAUUAGAUACCCUGGUAGUCCACACAGUAAACGAUGAAUACUCGCUGUUUGCGAUAUACAGUAAGCGGCCAAGCGAAAGCAUUAAGUAUUCCACCUGGGGAGUACGCCGGCAACGGUGAAACUCAAAGGAAUUGACGGGGGCCCGCACAAGCGGAGGAACAUGUGGUUUAAUUCGAUGAUACGCGAGGAACCUUACCCGGGCUUAAAUUGCACUGGACGAUCUUGGAAACAGGAUUUUCUUCGGACCAGUGUGAAGGUGCUGCAUGGUUGUCGUCAGCUCGUGCCGUGAGGUGUCGGCUUAAGUGCCAUAACGAGCGCAACCCUUAUCUUUAGUUACUAACAGGUUAUGCUGAGGACUCUAAAGAGACUGCGUCGUAAGAUGUGAGGAAGGUGGGGAUGACGUCAAAUCAGCACGGCCCUUACGUCCGGGGCUACACACGUGUUACAAUGGGGGGUACAACAGGCAGCUACCUAGCGAUAGGAUGCUAAUCCCAAAAACCUCUCUCAGUUCGGAUCGAAGUCUGCAACCCGACUUCGUGAAGCUGGAUUCGCUAGUAAUCGCGCAUCAGCCACGGCGCGGUGAAUACGUUCCCGGGCCUUGUACACACCGCCCGUCAAGCCAUGAAAGCCGGGGGUACCUGAAGUACGUAACCGUAAGGAGCGUCCUAGGGUAAAACUGGUAAUUGGGGCUAAGUCGUAACAAGGUAGCCGUACCGGAAGGUGCGGCUGGAACACCUCCUUU
rfam:Bacteroides reticulotermitis JCM 10512 DNA, contig: contig00061.